rnacentral:lncRNA from 1 species
UCGCUUUUUGCUCCACGUAGAUCUCUCGGCAUAGACAUAUCGGCUUAGUUGGUUGGAGUUUUCUGCUCAAAUAAUUUGGGUAUAGAAAACACUCAAAAAUCAUAUUACAAUAUCCAAAUAAAUGCAGCUGGUCAAAUUCCUUUUGUACAACGCUCUUUAAAUUCAUUAUUCGUACUACUGCAUACAGUGUGGUUGCUUACCUAGCGAGUGAAAUCACGGAAGAAUUUCAGGCAUUGUUGCUAUAAUCUAGUCAUGUCGUCUAUUCUACUCUGUCCUCAGCCGUGGCCAAUGAUAUUGUCUCGUCGAUUGGCUCGGCAGCUGGCUUGAUCUCUGUGACAGCGGUGGCAAGAUGAUCUAUCUCGUUGUCUCCUCAACUCAAUCUAGAUGGAACUUGGACACCGAUCUACUGGUAUGGUAGAUUGCAGUUUGACAGACCUACGCUUGCAAGAGUGCCCUCACAGCUAGUUAAAAACCUUGCCUGUCAUUAAUGAUUGGAUGAGAUAACUGAAUUAAAUAUACAAUGACGGAAAGAAUUGUGCCGCUGCUGCACAUGAGAUAACUGAAAUUAAAUAAACAUUAAUGAACUCUUGAAUUGUCAAAUCAUUGAGAUGAGAGUAGUUUCAUAGUUUGUGUCGUUGUUGCUAAUCGCAGGGCUAGCUGCGCCUGCUGCCUGCAGCCAAGAAACUGGAACGAUAAUUUAUUAAUCCUUUCCACCACGGUGAACUAAUGAACUAAAAUCCAUCGAUCGCUUAACGGCAAAUUAUUAAUGCUUUCCACCACUGUGAACUAUCGAACUUAAAUGCAUCGAUCGCUUUCACGCAAAGAAGAGAAUCCAUUGAUGAAGAGAUAAUCUAGGAACUAACCGGCGUGGACGCAGGCGGCCUCGCAGGUCGCUGAUCCAAACCACGGUUGCGUCUCGGUCCUGGGUGCCCUACCCAUCGUUACUGCUUGGUCCGCUAGAUCUGGCAGGAGCCGCGCGGCAGGAGGAGGAGGCCGGAGAUCGGGCGACGACGGUUCUUCCUUUCCUUCUCUCGGUGAUUGAUUGUAGGUGCGUUGAAGCUUGGCGUUGAGGCCCGCAACCGAUCGUGGCUGCACGAUUGGGUUGAAGCCUCGCAGGAUGUUCCGUAGCCUUUGAUUUUAAUAGAGACGAUUCCGUGUGUAUAUUUUUCUGGGUGCACAGAGGUUGGAGGCUCUCAGCGGGAGAAGUUUUAUUGGGUGUACCUAGUAUAAUUUAAAGUGUUCCAUUAUAGUAUAAAUAAGUGUACGCUUGUAUUUGUGAGCGUCUGCCUGCGUAAUUCAGUCUCGAAAAAAGUAUGC